CCUACGGGCGGCAGCAGUGGGGAAUAUUGGACAAUGGGGGCAACCCUGAUCCAGCCAUGCCGCGUGUGUGAAGAAGGCCCUCGGGUUGUAAAGCACUUUCAGUGAGGAAGAACGCCUGGUGGUUAAUACCCAUCAGGAAAGACAUCACUCACAGAAGAAGCACCGGCCAACUCCGUGCCAGCAGCCGCGGUAAUACGGAGGGUGCGAGCGUUAAUCGGAAUUACUGGGCGUAAAGCGCGCGUAGGUGGCUUGAUAAGCCGGUUGUGAAAGCCCCGGGCUCAACCUGGGAACGGCAUCCGGAACUGUCAAGCUAGAGUGAAGGAGAGGAAGGUAGAAUUCCCGGUGUAGCGGUGAAAUGCGUAGAGAUCGGGAGGAAUACCAGUGGCGAAGGCGGCCUUCUGGACUGACACUGACACUGAGGUGCGAAAGCGUGGGUAGCAAACAGGAGUAGAUACCCCUGUAGUC
rnacentral:rRNA from 1 species